rnacentral:rRNA from 1 species
UACGUAGGGUCCAAGCGUUGUUCGGAUUUACUGGGCGUAAAGGGCGCGUAGGCGGCGUGACAAGUCACUUGUGAAAGCCCUGGGCUCAACCUGGGAAUUGCAGUGGAUACUGGCAAGCUAGAGUGCGGUAGAGGAUGGUGGAAUUCCCGGUGUAGCGGUGAAAUGCGUAGAGAUCGGGAGGAACACCCGUGGCGAAGGCGGCCAUCUGGACCAGCACUGACGCUGAGGCACGAAAGCGUGGGGAGCAAACAGG